UACGGGGGGGGCAAGCGUUGUUCGGAAUUACUGGGCGUAAAGGGCUCGUAGGCGGCCAACUAAGUCGGAUGUGAAAUCCCCAGGCUUAACCUGGGAACUGCAUCCGAUACUGGAUGGCUUGAAUCCGGGAGAGGGAUGCAGAAUUCCAGGUGUAGCGGUGAAAUGCGUAGAUAUCUGGAGGAAUACCGGUGGCGAAGGCGGCAUCCUGGACCGGCAUUGACGCUGAGGAGCGAAAGCUGGGGGAGCAAACAGG
rnacentral:rRNA from 1 species